UACGGAGGGUGCAAGCGUUAUCCGGAAUCACUGGGUUUAAAGGGUGCGUAGGCGGUGGCGUAAGUCAGUUGUGGAAUUCCCCGGCUUAACCGGCGGGACUGCGAUUGAUACUGCGUUACUUGAAUCAGGUUGAGGUAGGCGGAAUGUGACAUGUAGCGGUGAAAUGCUUAGAUAUGUCAUAGAACACCGAUUGCGAAGGCAGCUUGCUGGACCUGUAUUGACGCUGAGGCACGAAAGCGUGGGGAGCAAACAGG
rnacentral:rRNA from 1 species